rnacentral:rRNA from 1 species
GAACAGAUAACGUCUUUCACUCCACUCCACUCUGCCUGCGCUCCCUCCAAUGGCGACCCCCGUCGCCUCCCCGCUCCUCCUCCCCUCCCCGGCCCCCCUCCCGGCCCCAACCUUCCCGCCCCGCCGCCUCACCGCCACCCGUCGCCUCCUCCUCGCCCCUCCCCCGCGCGCCGGCCGGCCGCGCCUCCGCGACCCGCCGCCGGCGCCGGUGGAGGAGGCCGCCGCCGCCGCGGCCGUGGAGGAGUACGAGGCGCCCCCGCUCAGGCUCCUCGACCCGCCGCAGGAGGAAGAGCCCUACCCCGACGAGAUGGAGGCGGCGGACCCGGACUUGUACCGGAUCGGGUACGCCCGGAUGAUGCGCGCCUACGGGGUCGAGUUCCUCGAGGGCCCCGACGGCAUGGGCGUCUACGCCUCCCGCGACGUCGACCCGCUCCGCCGAGCCAGGGUGAUAAUGGAGAUUCCAUUGGAGCUCAUGCUGACUAUAACUAAAAAUCAUCCUUGGAUGUUCUUUCCUGACAUUAUCCCACUAGGACAUCCUAUAUUCGACAUUAUCGAGUCAACAAAUCCCGAGACAGAUUGGGAUUUAAGAUUAGCCUGCCUUCUUCUCUAUGCAUUUGAUGUAGAAAACAACUUUUGGCAGUUAUACGGUGAUUUUUUGCCUAGUGGUGAUGAAUGCACCAGCUUGCUUCUGGCACCGAAGGAGGAUCUAAUGGAACUGGAAGACGAAGAUCUGUCCUCAGAGAUGUUAAAACGCCAGCAGCGAGCAGUUGAUUUUUGGCAGAAACACUGGCACAAAGCAAUCCCUCUCAAGCUAAAGCGGCUUGCCCCUGACCACGAAAGAUUUCUCUGGGCAUUGAGCAUUGUUCAGUCUCGCUCUUUCAACUUGAAUAUGAGAAUGGGAGCUUUCAUUCAAGAUGCAAAUGUCCUAGCUCCUUAUGCCGAUAUGCUAAAUCACUCACCUGAUGCUAACUGUUUCCUGCAUUGGCGUUUCAAAGAUCGAAUGCUUGAAGUUAUGAUUAAGGCGGGGCAUGCCAUCAAAAAAGGAGAUGAGAUGACAAUCGAUUAUAUGAGUGCGGUGAACAGCACGUUGAUGCAAAGAUAUGGCUUCUCAUCACCAACGAACCCCUGGGAACAUAUAAACUUCUCGAGCCCUGCCAAGAUUCACCUGGAUUCCUUCUUAUCGGUCUUCAACAUAGCUGGCUUGCAUGAUGAGCUGUACCACAAUGUUGCAUUGACCUCAGGGGAAAGCACCUUUGUCGACGGAGGAGUGGUGGCGGCAGCGAGGACUCUGCCGACAUGGUCGGACGGCGACCUUCCUGCCAUACCGAGCGUGGAGAGAAAAUCCGCUCAGGCGUUGCAGGAGGAGUGCCGGAAGAUGGCGGAGUCUUUCUCGACCACGAUCCGACAGGACGAGGAGAUUCUAGAUUCCGACGAGCCUAUGAGGAAAACACGCGAAAUCGCGAUCAAGUACCGUUUGCACCGGAAGCUGCUCUUGCAGAAGAUCAUCGACUCGCUGGAGAUCUACCAGGAUCGGAUUCUGUUCUAGCUAGAUGUAUAGUCCUGGAGGGUGCCGGUGUACCUGUAUCGAGCGAAGACCGUACCAGGUCUAGGUUUCUAGUGUCCCAAGUGUUCUGAAGGGCGUUUGCAGCACCACCACACCACCCUUAGAUGAUUUUGAAGGGCUUGAGAAGCCUAGGUUCAUACUACAUAGUAGGUUACUACUAGGUGACAGUAGGAGGAUCCCAGAAAGAUAAUGACAAGUGUCAAGUGUCGCCAAGGCAUGUCGGAGCUGGCACCAUUGCUGUUGGAAGAGGAGGGAUUCACAAGCACAUAGUUGCCCCACCUGUCAGGAUAGGUAAACGCGUCUCGAUUUCUCGAGCAACGGGUUACCUGUUCCAUUUUAAAUGUGAUUCAUGCUGAUGCUUCCGUGUAAGAUAUCAUCUGUGCAAAAUGGAAUAAGCAAAGGCAUCAACUUAAUCGACGCCGAUCGAUACCAGAAUAACUGUUCAAGAAAGUUAAUCUUCGUCUCCAUGGUGCCCCACUACGGAAGAAAAAAAGAAGUGUCUAUGUUUUGCCGAGUCCUUUUUUCGGCCUUCGCCGGAUCUUUUAUGCACUCAGCAAACAAUGUUUUUCAUGCAGUGCCCAGACGUUCCCUGCUCGGAACAUCUCAUAUGCACUGCGCUCUAGUGGUCAUGGCGUUAGCGUUGCAGCUCCAAUUUUGCGCCACCCGCGGGUUAAUUACUCCACCAGUUAAUUCACAAACUGUUAUGC